AAGGGCUUACCUUAAUUAAAGUGUCUGAUUUGCAUUUAGAUGAUGUGAGUUUACAGUCUUGCACCUCUUA
rnacentral:tRNA from 1 species